rnacentral:rRNA from 1 species
CNUUAUACAUGCAAGUCGAACGAGAAAGUCACUUCGGUGGCGAGUAGAGUGGCGCACGGGUGAGUAACGCGUAGAUGAUCUACCCUUCAGUCUGGGACAACUCUUGGAAACGGGAGCUAAUACCGGAUAAAACCUUCGGGUUGAAAGAUUUAUCGCUGGGGGAUGAGUCUGCGUACCAUUAGCUUGUUGGUGGGGUAACGGCCUACCAAGGCGACGAUGGUUAGCGGGUCUGAGAGGACGAUCCGCCACACUGGAACUGAGACACGGUCCAGACUCCUACGGGAGGCAGCAGUAGGGAAUAUUGCGCAAUGGGGGCAACCCUGACGCAGCAAUGCCGCGUGAGUGAAGAAGGCCUUCGGGUCGUAAAGCUCUUUUAUGGGGGAAGAUGAUGACGGUACCCCAUGAAUAAGCACCGGCUAACUACGUGCCAGCAGCCGCGGUAAUACGUAGGGUGCGAGCGUUGUUCGGAAUUACUGGGCGUAAAGGGCGUGCAGGCGGAUUGGCAAGCCGGAGGUGAAAGCCCGGGGCUCAACCCCGGAGGGUCUUUCGGAACUGCCAGUCUUGAGAGGGUCAGGGGCCAGCGGAAUUCCUGGUGUAGAGGUGAAAUUCGUAGAGAUCAGGAGGAACACCGGCGGCGAAAGCGGCUGGCUGGGGCCACUCUGACGCUGAGGCGCGAAAGCGUGGGGAGCAAACAGGAUUAGAUACCCUGGUAGUCCACGCCGUAAACGAUGGGCACUAAGCGUCCGACGGGUUCGACCCUGUUGGGUGCUGCAGUUAACGCGUUAAGUGCCCCGCCUGGG